rnacentral:rRNA from 1 species
AACGAACGCUGGUGGUAGGCUUAAUACAUGCAAGUCGAACGCUGUAGCAAUACAGAGUGGCGCACGGGUGAGUAACACAUGGGAACGUAUCUUUUGGUGGGGAAUAACAGUUAGAAAUGACUGCUAAUACCGCAUAAUCCCUUCGGGGCAAAGAUUUAUCGCCGUUUGAGCGGCCCAUGCCUGAUUAGCUUGUUGGUGAGGUAAAAGCUCACCAAGGCGAUGAUCAGUAGCUGGUCUGAGAGGACGAUCAGCCACACUGGAACUGAGACACGGCCCAGACUCCUACGGGAGGCAGCAGUAGGGAAUAUUGGACAAUGGGCGAAAGCCUGAUCCAGCCAUACCACGUGAAUGAUGAAGGCCUUAGGGUUGUAAAGUUCUUUUGACAGGGAAGAUAAUGACGGUACCUGUAGAAUAAGCACCGGCUAACUUCGUGCCAGCCGCCGCGGUAAUAC